rnacentral:rRNA from 1 species
AUACGGAGGGUGCAAGCGUUACUCGGAAUUACUGGGCGUAAAGCGUACGUAGGCGGUUAUUUAAGUCAGAUGUGAAAGCCCCGGGCUUAACUUGGGAACUGCAUUUGAAACUGGGUAACUAGAGUUUAGUAGAGGGGAGUGGAAUUUCAGGUGUAGCGGUGAAAUGCGUAGAGAUCUGAAGGAACACCAGUGCGAAGGCGACUCCCUGGACUAAAACUGACGCUGAGGUACGAAAGCGUGGGUAGCAAACAGGAUUAGAUACCCUAGUAGUCC